UCUGGUGGCCCAAUGGUUAGAGUAUCCAGCUUGGAUGCAGGAGGUUGUGGGUUCGAACCCCAGUCUAGUCAU